rnacentral:lncRNA from 1 species
CCAACCCGUAUGAACUCGUGAAAGAAAAAGAUGUAUUGGCGAAGUUGUCGACUUGAAAGUAAAGUACGAUGAAAAAGUAGAUUGUUUGUAUUGAUUGAUGUGUUGUUUUACAAAUCUCUAAAGAUGGCUAUUUAUAGCCUGUUACAACUGAUUUCCUAACCGACUAGGAUCUAUCUCUAAUUUUAAACGAAAACGAAUAUUUACAAACACAACUCGUAUCGGAGUUGGUUAUUAUACUCCCACGGGCCAAAUUCUCUCUAUCUUCUUUCCCUGGCUCACUUAAGCCCAUAUUGGCCCAAUCGCUCCCGCCUUCAAAUCGGCCGACCUCCACCAACUCCGUCUGCCAAUCGGCCGAUUCCCAACUGUAGCGCCAAUCAGCCGAUUCCAAACUGUAACACCAAUCGGCCGAUUCCCAAUUGUAGCCUUUAGAUCCACCGCAUCGGCCAAUUCUUCCUUCUCUUGACGCCGAUCUAAACGUGUCAAAAUCUAGCGUCAA